CCACAACUCACAGCAAUGCCGGAUCCUUAAACUACUGAGAGGCUAGGGAUUGAACCUGUGUCCUCAUGGAAACCAGUCAUAUUCAUUUCUGCUGAGCCAUGAUGAGAAAUCCUGAAUCUCCAUUUUUAACAACCUCCUCAGGAGAUUCAUAGGCACAUUAAAGUUUGAGGAACCUCUCUCUACUAUCUGUUGCAGACAGAAACAGAAAAGGGUCUCCUUAUUUUUGCUUUGAUUGUAAUGAGAAUGUGUCACUAUUUUGUCAUAAUUCAUGAUUUUUUUAUAUAAGUUUUUGAUAGAUAUCCUAUACUGGUUAAAGCACAAAACUUUGUACAUAUUAAUAAAUUCGAAAAAAAAUAAAGGUCUAGAGAAGUUAAGUGUCUGCCACAAGAUCACCUAGCUUGUAAGAGACAGAUCAAGCACAAAAGUCCAUGCUUGUGCUGACCAGACAUCCCUGGGAAAGAUGGACUAAUAACAAAUUAUUCCCACCUAGCAUGAGGUUCUAGCCAUCAAUGCCUAUUUGUUGAGUGAACAAAUGAAUGAAUGUCAUUGUACUAUGUUUCAUAUAAUAGGUGUGCUUCUGCACAGCUGAAUGGACAUUACAUCUUAGAUCCCUGAAUAUUUGUGAACCACAUGACUCAGUGUGCAAGAAGAAAUCUCUAUUUUAAGGUACUCCGCACUAGAUCCUGUCACAAAGAGGAAAAAAAAAAUAGCUGCUUCAUGAAAAUGUACUCCUUGAUAGAUUUUAAUCAACAAGUGUUGAUUGGGUGCAGCUGUGUGCCUAUAGCGGUCUAUGGUUCUAAUAAGGAUUCAGGAAACAUAAGACAGUGGUUCUCAAAUUUAACAUGCACUGGCAUCACCUGGAGGGUUAAUUAAACCACAUACUGCUUGUCUAAUCCUCCUCCCCCAAGUUUCUCAUCAUGUAGGUCUGGGCAUUUCUAAAUGAGCAUUUCUAACAAGCGCCAGGAUGGUGCUGAUACUGCCAGUCCAGGGGUCACACUUUGAGAAGAGCUGACAUACAAUACUCUCCCUACAUCUAAGGCCAGUGGUUCUCACUUUGAUUGUAUAUUUGAGUCACCUGGGAAGCUUUUCAAACUAACGAUGCCUGCCUGGUUCCCUCCAAUAACCAGCUGAAUCAGAAUCUCUGGGGUAGAGCCUGGGUAGGAGCAUUUUUCAUACAUUCCUUGGGUUUUUCUAAUGUGAAGUCAGACUUUAGCACUAUUGAGCCUUAGAGCUAAGUUGGGGAUCAGGGGAUAAGAUAGAUGUGCAAGAAGAGUCCUGGGGUAGCACACAGAGUGGUGUGCCAGAUCAAGCUGCUACCAGGCAGAGAAAGCCACAUGUGGAGAUCUCUUCCCAACUCUGCAUUCAGCGACAUCACACCAUGAGCUUGAAAUCAGCCACUGCAAGAGUUAUUUACACCACAAAAAUUUGCAAGUGCUCCAGGCCCCCCCCCAAAAAAAAACAGUUAUAGACUUCUACAAGCAAACCACUGAACAGAAGGCAGAUGUAACAGGCGAGAUGGCACUGUCAAUAUCCACCCAAGAUCCUGGAGACACGAGAAGCAGCAGCCACAUCUUAGUUCACUGGAAAACCAAGAUGUCAGAAUGAGAAAAAAGCAAGAACGCUGGAAAUGGAAGGGAAAGGCUCUGUCUAUCCCUCCCUCCUUCAAAGGUCAAAGACAGGCCUGCGGGAAGCACUUCUACAUGCUUUCACUCCUGAGACUGGAGAAGGAAGAGGCGAGAAAAAGAAAAACACCCAUGAAUAUUUCAUGCAGCGCCUCUGCUGACUCUUUAGUUCCCCGAACACCCAUUAAAGUGCCACCGUAAUAA